rnacentral:rRNA from 1 species
AGGUUACUGCUAUCGGUGUUCGCUUAAGCCAUGCGAGUCAUAUGUUCUUCGUGAACAUGGCGUACUGCUCAGUAACACGUGGAUAACCUGCCCUUGGGUCCGGCAUAACCCCGGGAAACUGGGGAUAAUUCCGGAUAACGCACAUAUGCUGGAAUGCUUUAUGCGUCAAAUGGAUUCGUCCGCCCAAGGAUGGGUCUGCGGCCUAUCAGGUAGUAGUGGGUGUAAUGUACCUACUAGCCUACGACGGGUACGGGUUGUGAGAGCAAGAGCCCGGAGAUGGAUUCUGAGACAUGAAUCCAGGCCCUACGGGGCGCAGCAGGCGCGAAAACUUUACAAUGCGGGAAACCGUGAUAAGGGGACACCGAGUGCCAGCAUCAUAUGCUGGCUGUCCGGGUGUGUAAAAUACACCUGUUAGCAAGGGCCGGGCAAGACCGGUGCCAGCCGCCGCGGUAACACCGGCGGCCCGAGUGGUGAUCGUGAUUAUUGGGUCUAAAGGGUCCGUAGCCGGUUUGGUCAGUCCUCCGGGAAAUCUGACGGCUUAACCGUUAGGCUUUCGGGGGAUACUGCCAGACUUGGAACCGGGAGAGGUAAGAAGUACUACAGGGGUAGGAGUGAAAUCUUGUAAUCCCUGUGGGACCACCUGUGGCGAAGGCGUCUUACCAGAACGGGUUCGACGGUGAAGGGACGAAAGCUGGGGGCACGAACCGGAUUAGAUACCCGGGUAGUCCCAGCCGUAAACGAUGCUCGCUAGGUGUCAGGCAUGGCGCGACCGUGUCUGGUGCCGCAGGGAAGCCGUGAAGCGAGCCACCUGGGAAGUACGGCCGCAAGGCUGAAACUUAA